rnacentral:tRNA from 9 species
GGAGAGGUGGUCGAGUGGUCGAAGGCGCUCGCCUGGAAAGCGAGUAUAUGGGUAAAACUGUAUCGUGGGUUCAAAUCCCACUCUCUCCGCCA